rnacentral:rRNA from 1 species
GGAUCGCCAGUGGCUGGUCCGCCGUCAAGGUGUGUACUGGUCACUGCAUCCUCCUUAUGGGAUACUCACCACUGCCCUUAACUGAGUGGUGGUUCAAAACCUACGUGUACCUCCGGGUGCACGCAGGUGGAGUUCCCAUUCUUUUACCUUGAACAAAUAAGAUUGCUCAAAGAAGGCAUAAAGGGGCCUGAAUUUUCGAGCAUGGGAUAAUAGAACAGGACUUGUGUCCUUUGUUUUGUUGGUUUCUAGGACAUGAGUA